CAAGAGCGUAUGUAAAAGUUGUUGCAGUUAAAAAGCUCGUAGUUGAACCUUGGGUUUGGUUGGCCGGUCCGCUUUUUUGCGAGUACUGGAUUCAACCGAGCCUUUCCUUCUGGCUAACCAGUCGUUUCGGCGGCUGGCGAACCAGGAUUUUUACUUUGAGAAAAUUAGAGUGUUCAAAGCAGGCAUUAGCUUGAAUAUAUUAGCAUGGAAUAAUAGAAUAGGACGUUAUGGUUCUAUUUUGUUGGUUUCUAGGACCAUCGUAAUGAUUAAUAGGGACGGUCGGGGGCAUCAGUAUUCAGUUGUCAGAAGUGAAAUUCUUGGAUUUACUGAAGACUAACUACUGCGAAAGCAUUUGCCAAGGACGUUUUCAUUAA
rnacentral:rRNA from 1 species